UUUUCUUUUUUCAUUAUUACAUAUCCUGCUUUUCCUUUUAUAUAGAUUAUAGAAAUAUAUGGAAAGUUAGCUACCUAUAUGUCAUUUCAUUUUACUAGAUGGUUCAUUUCUUCAGCCAUUCUUUCAUAUUUGAAGCUAUACUGACCUUAACAGGCUGAUUCAUUCUGAAGUGUAAGACAAAUGAGAAAAACAACUUAACUUAAAAAUGUAUGAAGUUACAACUUGUUAGAUUAGUAAUAUACUUUUUCCACAGUACAGCAUAAAACUACUUCUAGGACUACACUGCCAAAAAAGACAGACAAAAUAUUAAUUGAACAGAUGUUUUACACUCAACUGUUUGUCUUAAGUCUCUCAGAUCAAGCCUCCUGAGAUACUGAGAGCUGCUCAUCAAAUGUGAUCACUGCUGAAAUCAACAGAGGCUUUUAAAGUCUGAAAAGAAUUCAUCUGCAAAAAGUGUUCAUGCUUUUUAAAACUAUAUUCACUCUUUUAUUCAAACUCAGUUGCUUACCGAGGCUUGGACAGACCCCAGAGAUCAUUCUGUUUUAGCCCCCAAAUGACUUCCUUAUCUAGCGCCCCUUGCUUUUGGCUCUUCAUGCAGAAAACUUUAUGAUCAAUUCAUCAUAUGCAGGAAGUAUGAAAAUAGCCAAACUAUCCUAUCUCAUCUUUAAAUUACCGCUAUAUUUACUAGAAACUUGCACACAAGACUGGCUUAGGAAAUCCUUUGCUGUAUAUUAAACCCUCAGACAGCACCACUUUGGAGAAGAAACAAAACAUGAAAACAAGGACAGAUCAUUCAAACUAGUCAGUGGAAUGAGGCAGAUGUGACAGGACAGGCCACAGUCAAUUACAGCAAAUUUGUCAGCAUCUGGGAAAAGUUUAACUCAAACAGAAGCAAUGAGCUGUGUUUGAAAAAGCAUCAGUGUUUGCCAUUCAGCCAUAUGUGAAGUGAAAGCCAGUGCCAUGCCCCUUUCCUUCCGUGCAGGCCUGAAGCAAAAUGUUUCGAGGGCUUUUUAAAGUUUGUAUUUCCUUUGGCUGAUGAGCCUGUUUCAACACUUGCCAUAAGAUGUAUACAUUUCAGAGAAGCUGUUUCCAUAACUUGAGAUGAAAAUGCAAAGCGAGGCAAGAGGGAUUUUACAGGCUUUGAUACAGGCAGGGUUUUCUGUAUGCAGCAAAGCAUCCUUUGCACCACAGCGCUGUCAAGGGAGGAAGAGGGGGUGGAGAAACCAUCAACAACUCUGACACAUCCUAAGCUGUGUGAAGGAGGUGGGGCUCCCCCCUUCCACUGCCCUACCAUUAACUGGUUGUUAAAAAUUGCACUUAGUGAGAAAAGAGCUCCAUUUUUGGGGAUGGGAGGACUGAGGGGGAAGGAUUCACGGAAAAGUUAAGGUGCAUUUAGAACAGUCUUCCUAUUUGCAAGAAAAAUAUAUGAUACACAAGUGCUCUUCUCCAAGGCAAAACUGUUAUUUCAGCUUUACAGAGAGAGAUGAGAAACCUGUUUACAUGCCAGCUCACUCUUAAUGGACAACUUAACUGUCACCUUGUGAAUCUUAUUUUAAAGCUGCUUCUUUCCACUUGCAAACAAGAAGCAGAUAGGUGAGAUUCCUGAGUCAUACAGGGUUUGGAAGCUUCUUGAGACAGGCUUGUUCCGACACACAUGGUGGGUGCUCGCUCGCUCUGGGUGAGCAAGAGCAGAAUUUGGCAGAGGAAUCUCUCAUUUGCAAGAAUCCUGGAAGACCUUCUGCUCUGCAGACCUUCCUCUAGUUUAAUCCAAAGGAAGGAAAAAAACAUCUAACCUGGAAACCACUGUCUAGGCUUCUUACAAAAAUGUUAAAGGAGAGGGGGGAAAGAACUGUGUGUGACUGGACGACCUCCAGGCUGUACGUACACAGCUUGACUGUAAUCUGAGCAUAAUGGGUGUCUUUUUCUAAGUGAAACUACUGCCAAUGCUUACAAAUUUCUGUUUGAAGUUUUAUGGGGCAAGAGCUGCGGUCGAUAUUCUCACAUAAAAUGUAAUACUAUCAUCAUGUGCCAAAACGCUAACUGAAAAGAUUCAUUAUUUUGUAAUUUAAUCCCUUAUAAAUUAUAUGGAGAUCAUAUG
ensembl:lncRNA